AAAUAAAUAAAUAAAGAAAGAAGAAAAAAGAAAUAUAGAGGCUGGUAAAUGGCUCCACAGUUAAAAGCACUUGCUGCUCUUCCUGAGGACUGGAAUUUGGUUCCCAGAAUCCACACCCGUGACGCCAGUUUCAGGGAUUGAUGCCCUCUUCUGGCCUCUAUGCCCUGCCCCCCAAACACCGUAAAAAGUGGGGUUGGUUGGAGAGACAGCUCAGUGGAUAAGAACAUGUAUUGCUCUCACAGAGGACCCAAGGCUUGCCAGCUGGUCAGCAAGCUAGAGAGCUGUCUAUCCCCGGCCUCCCCUUUCCAGAACCCACAUCAGCUGGCUCCCACUGAUUGUAACUGCAGCUCCAAGGGGAUCUGAUGCCUAUGUGGACACCUACAUUCCAGUGUGUAUCUCUAACAGAGACACAGACAGACACAGACACACAUAAUUUAAAGUAAUAAAAAUAAAUCUUAAAAAAGAAGUAGAAAAGAAAACAGGGAGCUGGAGAGAUGACUCAGGGGUUAACAGUGCUUGCUGCUUCAUCGAGAGGAUCAGAGUUCGGAUCCCAGCAUUAAUAUCAGGCAGCUCACCAACACCUACACCUCCAGCUCCAUGGUGUCUAAAGCCCUCUUCUGGCCUCUAUGGGACUCAUUCACACGUUUGUACAUAUUGUUAUACACACCUCACUAUAAAUAAUAGAAAUUAAAAAAAAUAAACCUGAGGCUGGGGAGGUGGCUCUGAGUUGGAUCCCCAGAUCCCACAUUUAAGAACUGGGGGCAGCGGUGCAUGGUUGUAAAUCCCACUGUUGGGGAGGCGGGUAUAGAUAGCUGUCUAGCUUUCUGAUUAGCUAGCUAGCCUACCCUAUGUGCUUACUUGGUAAGUUUUAGCCCUGUGAAAGGGAAAGGUGGAUGUUGCCUGAAGAAACACACACACACACACACACACACACACACACACACACACACACACGUACACAGACACAGACAGACAGAUAGACAGACAGACAGACAUAGAUACACACAGACAGACACAUACACAUACACACACACACACACACACACACACACACACACAUGUACACAGACACAGACAGACAGAUAGACAGACAGACAGACAUAGACACACACAGACAGACACAUACACACACACACACACACACACACACACACACACACACGCGCGCACGUAUCUGGGUCUAUAGGCAAACUAAGGUCAAAAACAAAGAUUGCCAACUCGGGAUUCCGGAGCUCAUGGAGUCAGCGAGAAGAAAGCAGUCGCAUCUCUGUUGUAGGAGGUGGCUGAUGGCGGCUGACUACUCAGAACAGAAUAGAAAAGACUCCCUUCUCCUGAUUCUGGCUUGUCGUGCAGUUUUCUCUUCAAUUCUGUCAUGAGUACACCAUAUCAGCCAUGUUAUCCCAACUCUGGAACAAUUAAAUGAAGUGAACCAAAAUGAAGACAUUCCUACACUCUAAAAUAACACAGAAACAGAAUAUCGCUCGGCUUCCAGAGAAAUCAGCAGGAUUUGAGUCCUUUCGAUUUUAUCUUUCGGAUGUGCAAACCAUGACCAUCACACUCCUUCUUCGAGCUGCCUUUCUAUUGCUGAGUUCUGUUACAUGGUGUAAUCAAUAAGGGGUAUCCUUGUCCAGCUCAGAACGUGGAAGGAGAGCCUGCUGGGCCCUGCCUCAGUCUCCACAUAAUUAAUAUAUAUAUACACAGUUAAAGUGAAGAAACAACCUAGAACAGUAACAAAGGAAGCCACAGGAGAGAGUUCUGGUCCUUCAACACAAGGCUGGCUGCACAGCACCAAGACUCUCAGGGAUUCCUACUCUCAAGAACAGACUGUUGACUGGCUGCUUCUUUAUGAUUUAUGAGAGGUUCUGCGUCCUCAGCCUUCUCCAUCUCUUGUCCCUGAAGCUCCUCAAGAAUGAGGACUGUCUCCCAGUUACUAUAGUGAUGGGCUGGGAAAAUAUCUGAGUGCAUGCUGU